GAAACGAGAGAAGGGCGAAGGGUGGAUACCUUGGCUCAUGGAGGCGAAGAAGGACGUGAUAAGCUGCGAUAAGCCCCGGGGAUCGGCAAAUACGACUUGAUCCGGGGAUUUCCGAAUGGGGAAACCCACCAGCAGCGGUGCUGGUACCAUCCCUUGAGGAUGGGGCGAACGGGGGGAACUGAAACAUCUAAGUACCCCCAGGAGGAGAAAACAAAAGUGAUUCCGCAAGUAGUGGCGAGCGAACGCGGAGGAGCCCAAACCGGGACGGUCCAGGCCGCCCCGGGGUUGUAGGACCAAGACGUGGGACGAAAUUUCGGUAGCCGGACGGCGUGGAAAAGCCGGGCAUAGAGGGUGAGACCCCCGUAGGCGAAACCGAGACGAACCCUAUUGGCAUCCUGAGUAGCGCGGGACACGAGGAAUCCUGCGUGAAUCUGGCGGGACCAUCCGCCAAGGCUAAAUACUCCCAUGAGACCGAUAGCGAACAAGUACCGUGAGGGAAAGGUGAAAAGCACUUCGAACAGAAGGGUGAAAGAGAACUUGAAACCGUUCGCCUACAAGCGGUCGGAGCCCGUAAGGGUGACGGCGUGCCUUUUGCAUAAUGAUCCUACGAGUUGCCGUCGUUGGCGAGGUUAAGGCGUUGAGCGCGAUAGCCGGAGGGAAACCGAGUCCGAACAGGGCGCAUAGUCAGCGGGGGCAGACGCGAAACCAAGUGAUCUACACUUGUCCAGGUUGAAGGUCCGGUAACACGGACUGGAGGACCCGACCGGUAAGCGUUGAAAAGCUUUCGGAUGAGGUGAGUGUAGGAGUGAAAGGCCAAUCAAACUUGGAGAUAGCUCGUACUCCCCGAAAUGCCUUUAGGGGCAGCGUCGACACAGGUCCGCAUGAGGUAGAGCGACUGGUUGGAUGCGAGGGCUUCACCGCCUAUCAAGUCCUGUCAAACUCCGAAUGCGUGCGGAUGGCGUGCGGCAGUGAGGGCACGGGUGCUAAGGUCCGUGUCCUAAAGGAGAAGAAUCCAGACCACCGGCUAAGGUCCCGAAAUUACGGUUAAGUUGAUCUAACGAGGUCCGGUCGCAGAGACAGCUAGGAUGUUGGCUUGGAAGCAGCCAUUCAUUCAAAGAGUGCGUAACAGCUCACUAGUCGAGCGACUGGGCGUGGAUAAUAAUCGGGCAUGAAACCGUAUACCGAAGCCGUGGGAUACGCAAGUAUCGGUAGGGGAGCAUUCCAGCUCCGGCGAAGGAUGGGGGACGACCCCGUCUGGAGGUGCUGGAAAAGCAAAUGUAGGAAUGAGUAACGAUAAGGGGGGCGAGAAACCCUCCCGCCGGAAGACUGAGGGUUCCUGAUCAACGCUAAUCGGAUCAGGGUAAGUCGGGACCUAAGGAUAAGCCGAAGGGCGAAGCCGAUGGAAGAAACGGUCAAUAUUCCGUUACUCGUACAACGAACGAUGCGGGGACGAAGGAGUGAAAGCGCCGCGGGCUGACGGAAUAGCCCGUUGAAGGGUGUAGGAGCAGACGGGGAGAGUAAAGCACGCCCCGGAUCCGAACCUGACAGUAUGGCCUCCCCUCGGGGAGGGCAAUAGCGCGCCUAACCAUACUUCCGAGAAAAACCGCUAAGUGCCAAUCGUUGUGCGACUCGUACCAUAAACCGACACAGGUGGUCGGGUAAAGUUUACCAAGGCGCUCGGGAGAUUCGCGGUUAAGGAACUAGGCAAAAUAACCCUGUAACUUCGGGAAAAAGGGUGCUCACUGCAAUAAUGUGAGCCGCAGAAAAUUGGCUCAGGCGACUGUUUAACAAAAACACAGGGCUAUGCUAAAUCGAAAGAUGACGUAUAUGGCCUGACACCUGCCCGGUGCUGGAAGGUUAAGAGGAGGGGUCACGCAAGGAAGCCCUGAAUUGAAGCCCCAGUAAACGGCGGCCGUAACUAUAACGGUCCUAAGGUAGCGAAAUUCCUUGUCGGGUAAGUUCCGACCUGCACGAAU
rnacentral:rRNA from 1 species